UACAGAGGUCUCAAGCGUUGUUCGGAUUCAUUGGGCGUAAAGGGUGCGUAGGUGGCGCGGUAAGUCGGGUGUGAAAUCUCGGAGCUUAACUCCGAAACUGCAUUCGAUACUGCCGUGCUUGAGGACUGGAGAGGAGACUGGAAUUUACGGUGUAGAGGUGAAAUUCGUAGAUAUCGAGAGGAACACCGGUGGCGAAGGCGGCCUUCUGGACAGUGACUGACGCUGAGACGCGAAAGCGUGGGGAGCAAACAGG
rnacentral:rRNA from 1 species